rnacentral:rRNA from 1 species
AUUGAACGCUGGCGGCAGGCCUAACACAUGCAAGUCGAGCGGAGCGGCGGACGGGUGAGUAAUGCCUAUGAAUCUGCCUCGUAGUGGGGGAGAACGUACGCUAAAGGGCGCUAAUACCGCAUCCUCUCACCUUCGCCUAGGUCGGAAUAGCUAGUUGGUGGGGUAAAGGCCUACCAAGGCGACGAUCCGUACCUGGUCUGAGAGGAUGAUCAGUCACACUGGAACUGAGACACGGUCCAGACUCCUACGGGAGGCAGCAGUGGGGAAUAUUGGACAAUGGGCGAAAGCCUGAUCCAGCCAUGCCGCGUGUAUGAAGAAGGUCUUCGGAUUGUAAAGCACUUUAAGUUGGGAGGCGUUACCAACAGAAUAAGCACCGGCUAACUUCGUGCCAGCAGCCGCGGUAAUAC